ACAAUAUAUAUAAACUUGAGAUUCCUUGGAUAGUUGGAAUACUUCAUUAAUCUUGAAAGAUAUUCAUGCAAGUCUGGAGCAACAUGAUAAAAGAAAACUU